AGCGAACGCUGGCGGCAUGCUUAACACAUGCAAGUCGCACGGGCAGUAGCAAUACUGUCAGUGGCGGACGGGUGAGUAACGCGUAGGAAUCUAUCCUUGAAUGGGGGACAACCGUGGGAAACUACGGCUAAUACCGCAUGAUGCCUGAGGGCCAAAGACGAAAGUCGUUUGAGGAGGAGCCUGCGUCUGAUUAGCUUGUUGGUGGGGUAAAGGCCUACCCAAGGCGACGAUCAGUAGCUGGUCUGAGAGGAUGAUCAGCCACAUUGGGACUGAGACACGGCCCAAACUCCUACGGGAGGCAGCAGUGGGGAAUAUUGGACAAUGGGCGCAAGCCUGAUCCAGCAAUGCCGCGUGGGUGAAGAAGGUCUUCGGAUUGUAAAGCCCUUUCGGCGGGGACGAUAAUGACGGUACCCGCAGAAGAAGCUCCGGCUAACUUCGUG
rnacentral:rRNA from 1 species